rnacentral:rRNA from 1 species
UACAGAGGUCCCGAGCGUUGUUCGGAUUCACUGGGUUUAAAGGGUGCGUAGGCGGCUUGUUAAGUCAGUGGUGAAAGCCUGCAGCUUAACUGCAGAAUUGCCAUUGAUACUGAUGAUCUUGAGUACAGUUGAGGUGGGCGGAAUGUGUCAUGUAGCGGUGAAAUGCUUAGAUAUGACACAGAACACCGAUUGCGAAGGCAGCUCGCUAAGCUGUAACUGACGCUGAGGCACGAAAGCGUGGGGAUCAAACAGG